UACGUAGGGGGCAAGCGUUGUCCGGAAUCAUUGGGCGUAAAGAGCGCGUAGGCGGCCCAGUAAGUCCGCUCUGAAAGUCAGAGGCUCAACCUCUGAAUGCGGGUGGAUACUGCUGGGCUAGAGUCCGGAAGAGGCGAGUGGAAUUCCUGGUGUAGCGGUGAAAUGCGCAGAUAUCAGGAAGAACACCCGUGGCGAAAGCGGCUCUCUGGAGCGGUACUGACGCUGAGACGCGAAAGCGUGGGGAGCGAACAGG
rnacentral:rRNA from 1 species